rnacentral:rRNA from 1 species
ACUCCUACGGGAGGCAGCAGUGGGGAAUAUUGCACAAUGGGCGCAAGCCUGAUGCAGCCAUGCCGCGUGUGUAAGAAGGCCAUUCGGGCUUGUAAAGAACUUUCAGUCGUGAGGAAGGUAGUGUAGUUAAUAGCUGCAUUAUUUGACGUUAGCGACAGAAGAAGCACCGGCUAACUCCGUGCCAGCAGCCGCGGAAUACGGAGGGUGCGAGCGUUAAUCGGAAUUACUGGGCGUAAAGCGCAUGCAGGUGGUUUGUUAAGUCAGAUGUGAAAGCCCGGGGCUCAAGCCU